rfam:Trichobilharzia regenti genome assembly, scaffold: TRE_scaffold0008654
GUACUGCUGAAGAGUCCCAAACUAGGAUGAAACAGCUGUCCAGUAC